UUGUGCAGUUUAGAUUUUAACAUUCAAUCCUUUCUACUGAAAAGAAGUCGACCAAAGGACAGCAGCUCCUUCUCACCUGAUCUUUCUCCACCAACUCUACGGUAUCUCUCCUGCUGCUGACUCUAGAACUCAUCUCUCUCCUGUCAUUCAGAUCAACAUGAAGAUCUCUAUCUUUGCUGGUGUUCUGCUGAUCUCUGCUGCUCUGAUCUCUGUGAAGAGAGUACAGCAGCAGAGAAAAGA